rnacentral:rRNA from 1 species
AAUGAACGCUGGCGGCGUGCUUAACACAUGCAAGUCGGACGAGAAAGCCGAAAGCUUGCUUUUGGCGAGUAAAGUGGCGCACGGGUGAGUAGCGCGUGGGUAAUCUACCUCCGAGUUCGGGAUAACACUUCGAAAGGAGUGCUAAUACCGGAUAACAUCCUUUAUACCUUGGUAUGGAGGAUCAAAGAUAGCCGCUUCGUGAAAGCUAUUGUUUGGAGAUGAGCCCGCGUCCCAUUAGCUUGUUGGUAGGGUAAUGGCCUACCAAGGCAGCGAUGGGUAGCUGGUCUGAGAGGAUGGCCAGCCACACUGGAACUGGAACACGGUCCAGACUCCUACGGGAGGCAGCAGUGAGGAAUUUUGCGCAAUGGGGGCAACCCUGACGCAGCAACGCCGCGUGAGUGAGGAAGGCUUUCGGGUCGUAAAGCUCUGUCGGAUGGGAAGAAAUGGUUGGAGGUUAAUACCCUUCAUCCUUGACGGUACCAUCAGAGGAAGCACCGGCUAACUCCGUGCCAGCAGCCGCAGUAACAC